CCAAUAGCGUAUAUUAAAGUUGUUGCAGUUAAAAAGCUCGUAGUUGAAUUUCGGGAUCAGUAUGUUGGUCGUGCUUCGGUACGUACUGUCAUUACUGGUUUCUACCUUCUGAAGAACCUUGAUGUCAUUAAUUUGGUGUCUUGGGGAAUCAGGACUGUUACUUUGAAAAAAUUAGAGUGUUUAAAGCAAGCAUACGCUUGAAUACAUUAGCAUGGAAUAAUGAAAUAGGACGUUUGAUUCUAUUUUGUUGGUUUCUAGGAUCGACGUAAUGAUUAAUAGGGAUAGUUGGGGGCAUUAGUAUUCAAUUGUCAGAGGUGAAAUUCUUGGAUUUAUUGAAGACUAACUACUGCGAAAGCAUUUGCCAAGGAUGGUUUCAUUAAUCAAGAACGAAAGUUAGGGGAUCGAAGACGAUCAGAUACCGUCGUAGUCUUAACCAUAAACUAUGCCGACUAGGGAUCGGAUGAUGUUAUUUUUAAUGACUCAUUCGGCGCCUUACG
rnacentral:rRNA from 1 species